AUGCCACACCAAACCGCGGGCCGACCACCAGAGCCUACCAACGAGAGAAAGAACUCCCCAGCACCUUUGGUAGUAGGGCAUGCUGCCACCAUGGUGGAGGCCGGCAGCAGUGGCAGCGAAUGGGAGAGACCGGAGCUGGGGGCGCUAGGGUUGUCGCCUAGGGAGCGACGCGAGGGGAAACACAGAUUUCCCCUGGUUGGAUAUCUGGACUCCCUUUUUAUUUUAGUUCUUUUAUUUUUUAUUACAGUCUAUUCUUGUGUCAUUUUUCCUUCUUUCCAUGGAUUCUUUGGUCAAGAAUUUGUCUUGUAUUUUUUUAUUUUUACUUGA
rnacentral:rRNA from 1 species